rnacentral:sRNA from 1 species
UUUUAACUGCGUGAGGGAUAGUAGUGGAAAUCCUUUUUUAUGUAGCGAAAGCGAAAUAAAAAAGAUUGCAGCGCAUAGCCCGUUUCGCU